CUCUUCUAGUCCCUCUCAGUGCACCCACACAGACCGGACAAGUAGGUGGUUAAUUACCCACGUCUUCUGUCUCUUCUAGUCCCUCUCAGUGCACCCACACAGACCGGACAAGUAGGUGGUUAAUUACCCACGUUUUCUGUCUCUUCUAGUCCCUCUCAG